rnacentral:rRNA from 1 species
AUUGAACGCUGGCGGCAGGCUUAACACAUGCAAGUCGAGCGGGGGAAGGUAGCUUGCUACCGGACCUAGCGGCGGACGGGUGAGUAAUGCUUAGGAAUCUGCCUAUUAGUGGGGGACAACAUCUCGAAAGGGAUGCUAAUACCGCAUACGUCCUACGGGAGAAAGCAGGGGAUCUUCGGACCUUGCGCUAAUAGAUGAGCCUAAGUGGGAUUAGCUAGUUGGUGGGGUAAAGGCCUACCAAGGCGACGAUCUGUAGCGGGUCUGAGAGGAUGAUCCGCCACACUGGGACGGAGACACGGCCCAGACUCCUACGGGAGGCAGCAGUGGGGAAUAUUGGACAAUGGGGGGAACCCUGAUCCAGCCAUGCCGCGUGUGUGAAGAAGGCCUUAUGGUUGUAAAGCACUUUAAGCGAGGAGGAGGCUACUCUAGUUAAUACCUAAGGAUAGCGGACGUUACUCGCAGAAUAAGCACCGGCUAACUCUGUGCCAGCCGCCGCAGUAA